rnacentral:lncRNA from 10 species
ACACCUUUAAAACAGGAGCGAAGUGUUCGAUCGAGGCCCCUGGAGACCCAGUGCAACACGGCAGUAGGUCUCCUAGCAAGACGCCAGCCUCGUGCUGGGGAGAAGACGGAGGGAGCUGGAGCCCAGCUGCCCUCUGCCCACUACUUCCCCUCAGCCGUUGCCCAGAAGGGCUUUGUCUCACUGCUCCCGAGACCCUGUGCCAUAUUUUCCCACAGCCACUCCCAGACUCACACCCAAAGAAAUGGCUGUGGUGCACCCUGGGGCUUGAACAACACUCAGAAGAUUCAAAAACUCAGCACAGACACAAAUCUCUUACAGAAAACCAGAUAGGCCAAGUCUUGGAGCCGAUGUGGCUGUAAGCCAAAGUGCAGCAGAGUGUAAAACGCUGCCUCUCUCCAGUGGAGAGGGUCUCUCUGGGAGGAAAGAAAUGAGGAUCUCGAGGCAUGAGCUCAGAGUGCAUCCCUGAGGACCAAAUUCCCACUCCCACACUGGCUGGGGCUCACCUCAACCUGUCCCCUCACAGCCUUGCAAUCUGUAGCUUCAGAGUCGCUGCUGUGCACCAGCUUGGAGGUGCCCACAGGAGCAGAACUGGAACAACAGAACCUGCCUCCCUCCCGCCCAUCUCUGCUCUCGGGAUGCUCAAACCAGAUCAUAUAUGAAAAGAUGCUGAAAAAUGGCCCGAUGCAAGGGUGAAGGAGGGAGGUCUGCAUGCCACUUCCACCCAGGUGCCUGGCCAGGAUGCUCCUGGUCCCCCUUGGCCUCCCCUGAGCUGUCCUCUCCCCCAUUACUUUAUGAUAACUUGUCAUGCUCCUUCUCCAACCAUCUGGAAUGUACAACAAGAGCAUCAGAAACCACACCUACCCUGAAUGCUGGUGUUGAUUCCUCAUGCCCUUUUCCUUCUCCUUCUUUAAAUCGAGAUCCCUUGGAAUAAGCUCGUUCCUUC